rnacentral:rRNA from 1 species
GACGAACGCUGCGCUGCAGGCUUACCUCAUGCGCGUCCCACCAGAACGCUCUGGCUUCUGCCGGGGCAAAUACAGUGGCCGACCGGUGCCUAUCGCGUAAAUAACCUGCCCUCCAGCGCGGGACAAUCACAUGUGCAAACCGUGGCUAAUACCGCACGUCGUCUGGACCCCCCAUGCGGGACCAGAUGCAAAGCUUGGAGUUACCCACGCGCCUUUGGAUGGGUCUGCAUUGGAUUACCUUGUUGGUGAGGCAACUGGCUCACCAUGGCAACCAUCCAUACCUGGUCUGAGACGACGAUCAGCCGCACUGGAACAGAUACACUGCCCACCACUCUCUCACUGGAGGCAGCACUGGGGAAUCUUCUGCACAAUGGGGUCACCCCUGAUGCAGCCAUGCCGCGUGGAGGAAGACACCCCUAUGGGGAGUAAACUCCUUUUCUGAACAAACAAACCCCUGAAGGUUCAGGGCGCGACCGUAGUUCGCGAAUAAGCACAAGCUAACUCCCUGCCACCAUCCUCUGUAAUACGGACGGUGCAAGCGUUGUCCGGAAUCACUGGGUGUAAACGGUGUGCACGCGGGGCAGCGAGUCCGAUGUGAAACCCCAUGGCUUAACCAUGGAGGUGCAUUCCAAACUGUUGCUCAUGAGUCCCGGAUAGGCUGUCCGAAUUCCUGGUGUACCGGUGAAAUGCGAACAUAUCACGAUGAACACCAGAAGCAACAGCGGGCAUCUGGACGGGUACUGACGCUCAGGCACGAAAGCGUGGGGAGCAGACAGGAUUAGAUACCAUGGUAGUGCACGCGCUUAACGAUGUACGCUCGCUGUUGCCCCGCUCAAGGGGCAGUGGCUAAGUUAACGCGCUAUGUGUUCCACCUGGGGAGUACGAUCGCAAGGCUGCAACUCAAAGGAAUCGACGGGGGCCCGCAUCAAGCGGUGGAGCAUGCGGCUCACUUCGAUGCCACGCGAAGAACCUUACCUAGGCUCGCACGCUAGAGGACCGCUCGGGAAAGGGAGCUUCCCUUGCGGGGCCUCUAGCGAGGUAUUGCAUGGCUGUCGUCAGCUAGUGUGGUGUGAUGUUGGGUUAAGUCCGGCAACGAGCCGUAACCCGUGUUGCUUGCACCAUGGGGUAGUGCUGCGGGAGUGUAGCGAAACUGCAUGAGCAAGCAGUGAGGAAGGUGGGGAGGAUGUCAAGUCAUCAUGGUCUUUACGCGUAGGGCAUGCAUCAUGUGCUACCAUGGCCGGUACAACGGCGUAGCCACCUCGCGAGAGGGAGAGAAUCCCUGAUAAACCGGUCCCAGUUCGGAUGGGAGUCUGCAACUCGUACUCCAUGUAAGCAGGAAUCGUUACGUAAUGGCGGAUCAGCAANUGCCGCGGUGUAAUCCGUUCCCUGGGCCUUGUACACACCAGCCCGUCAAGCCAUGGAAGAUGCAGAGCACCCGAAGUCCGUGACUCAAAUCGGGCCAUGGGUCGGAGGGAGAGCGGCCGAAGGUGAGCUCAGUGAAGGGGGCU